rfam:Pseudomonas syringae pv. tomato str. DC3000, complete genome.
GUGGAUAGUUUUUGUACAGAACGCUUGAGAAGUAACGCGGAACACUUUCAAAGCCGGGAAUUUUAGCAGCUUCUUGCGCUGGGUCCGUUUACUUACUACAAACAAUGGGUACUAUGUACGCCGGUCGUUUUCUCAUUUUCGAGAGA